rnacentral:rRNA from 1 species
AUUCCAGCUCCAAUAGCGUAUAUUAAAGUUGUUGCAGUUAAAAAGCUCGUAGUCGGAUUUUGGCAUCACGCCGAACUGUCUGCCGAUUGGUAAGUACGGUUUGGCGGGUGCUUCCUUCCGGAGGCUCGUUCCCUUCUUCAUUGAAGGGUUCGUUGGUUCCGGGUCUUUUACUUUGAGAAAAUUAGAGUGUUCAAAGCAGGCCUAUGCUCUGAAUAGGUUAGCAUGGAAUAAUAGAAUAGGACUUUGGUUCAUUUUAUUGGUUAUUGAACCUUAGUAAUGAUUAACAGGGACAGUUGGGGGCAUUAGUAUUUAAUUGUCAGAGGUGAAAUUCUUGGAUUUAUUAAGGACUAACUUAUGCGAAAGCAUUUGCCAGGGAUGUUUUCAUCA